rnacentral:rRNA from 1 species
UACGUAGGGUGCAAGCGUUGUCCGGAAUUAUUGGGCGUAAAGAGCUCGUAGGCGGUCUGUCGCGUCGAAUGUGAAAACCCGGGGCUCAACCCCGAGACGCCAUCCGAUACUGGCGUGACUUGAGUCUGGUAGGGGAGAUCGGAAUUCCUGGUGUAGCGGUGAAAUGCGCAGAUAUCAGGAGGAACACCGGUGGCGAAGGCGGGUCUCUGGGCCGAUACUGACGCUGAGGAGCGAAAGCGUGGGGAGCGAACAGG